ACGGCCAUACCAUGCUGAAUAUACCGGUUCUCGUUAGACCACCGAAGUCAAGCAUCAUUGAACGCGAUCAGUACUUGGGUG